rnacentral:rRNA from 1 species
GAUAAACGCUGGCGGCGUGCCUAACACAUGCAAGUCGAACGAUCCCGCAAGGGAGAGUGGCGGAAGGGUGAGUAACACGUGGGAAUCUACCUCCUCGCAGGGAACAACCUCUCGAAAGAGAGGCUAAUACCCAAAAGGGUCAGAAAUGAUCAGAGUCGAAAGGCGUGAGGAGAGGAGCCCGCGGCCCAUCAGCUAGUUGGUGAGGUAAUGGCUUACCAAGGCUACGACGGGUAGGGGAUCUGAGAGGAUGUCCCCCACACUGGAACUGAAACACGGUCCAGACGCCUACGGGUGGCAGCAGUGAGGAAUAUUGGACAAUGGGCGAAAGCCCGAUCCAGCAACGCCGCGUGGAGGAUGAAGGCCUUGGGUCGUAAACUUCUUUAGAGGAGACGAGAAAGGACGGUAUCCCUAGAAUAAGCGACGGCAAACUACGUGCCAGCAGCCGCGGUAAU